UUAUAGGAACUGUAUCUCAACAGACGAUAUCUUCUUAUAGGAACUGUAUCUCAACAGCCGGUAUCUUCUUAUAGGAACUGUAUCUCAACAGCCAAUAUCUCCUUAUAGGAACUGUAUCUCAACAGCCGGUAUCUUCUUAUAAGAACUGUAUCUCAACAGCCGAUAUCUUCUUAUAGGAACUGUAUCUCAACAGUCGAUAUCUGUAUCUCAACAACCGGUAUCUUCUUAUAGGAACUGUAUCUCAAUAG